rnacentral:rRNA from 1 species
AGUGAACGCUGGCGGUAGGCCUAACACAUGCAAGUCGAACGGUAGCACAGUAAGAGCUUGCUCUUACGGGUGGUGAGUGGUGGACGGGUGAGGAAUACAUCGGAAUCUACUUUUUCGUGGGGGUUCACGUAGGGCAACUUACGCUGAUACCGCAUUCGACCUACGGGUGAAAGCAUGGGUUCUUCGGACCUUGCGCGUUUGAAUGAGUCGGCGUAGGUUUACCUAGGUGGUGGGGUAGAGGCCCACCAAGUCUCGGAUCCGUAGUUGGUGUGAGAGAAUGAGAAGCCACACUGUGACGGGAACACGGUCCAGACUCCUACGGGGGGCAGCAGUGGGGAAGAUUGGACAAGGGGCGCAAGCCUGAUCCAGCCAUACCGCGUGGGUGAAGAAGGCAUUCGGGUUGUAAAGCCCUUUGGUUGGGAAAGAAAAGCAGCAGGAGAAUACCCCGCUGUUCUGACGGUACCCAAAGAAUAAGCACCGGCUAACUUCGUG